UAUUAUGAUAUUGUCAACUGCAUUUAGGUU
rnacentral:piRNA from 1 species